UCAAUUUAAGUGUGUUUGUUUCUGCCGUAGCUGAAAAACCGUUAUAGUGAGUUUAAUAAGAUGUUUCCAGUGGUUCUCCAAACAGCUCAACUCAAAUAAUACUCCAAUGUAAGAACCAAUUGGCCCAAACAGACCCACAGUACUUAGCCUAACAAAAUAGAAUUUCAAGCUCUGAAAUUUACAGAAAUGAAGAAAUAUGUUAGAGAAUUAAGUAUGCCAACCUGGGUAUUCGAAGUCUGCCCAUGAGCUCGAGCAGGCCUCAUGUUCAAGUCGAUCAUUUUGGAAUCAUUUCUUGCAUGAUCAUUACUACUGCCAUCCAAGCCAGGAUCAGUAGACAUCUUGUGAUUCAUCAUUGACUCUCUUAUUAUUGUACUGGGCACCUGGUUGUGUUCUCUCCUGUUCUCAAUUUGGUCUUUUGGUUGCAUUGAUUGAUCUUCAAUACGUCCUGCUUUAUCUCCUGGAAACUAUAAAGAAUAAAAGGGCAACUUUAAGAUUUAAUUGCAUUGAAGUUUUGUUUAAAUAACUAAUGCGGUAAAACAAGAAUAGAAGUUUUACCUCAACUCUUUGCCUCAAAAGGAGGUAUCUUCCAUGGGUUCUUUUCCCCCCAACAUGGACAAUCAUAUCGCACUGAAGGCAAAGUGAAGUACCAUCUAUCUCACAAUAAAAGAAAGCUGUAUACGCAUACAAAGUAAAAAGAUUUAGGUACCAGGAAACACCAAUAUUAGGAUAAGUAGCAAGAGGGACAUCACCUACCAGGUGCAUUUUCACAUAUGUCACAGCGAGGAACUUCAUUGGGAUCGGCAAGUCCUACUCGUACAUGUCGACUAGCAAGCUUGUUACACAUGUGCACCUAUAUCACCAAGAGAAAGAAAUCAUCGCAAAGUCAAUGGGAUUAUCAUGUUAACAGUUAACUAUGGCCAAGAAAUAUUGUUAUCUCACCAUUGUGAGUCUAGCCCACUACCAUUAGUAACUGAAUAGGCUCGACAAUGUUGCAGAAAAAUUUUAAACCCAGUUUACCACUGCUAUCUUCCUAGUUCUUAUGAAAUGCCAACUAAUCUCCCAUUAUCUUCUGAUAAGGAACUUAUAGAGUGUCACAAUCAUCACGCAACCUGUGCAAACCUAUAGACUGAAUAUAACACAGUAAAAAUGUACCAAGGCACCAAGAGAAAACAGUGAUUUGUACAUGCAAUAUCAAUGAUAUGAAUAUCAUACAAUGAUUACAUGUAAUACAUUAGUAUCAAACAGAAGGUGUUUCGCUUAUUCCCGAAGUGAUCAUAAGUCCAAAACAAUUAUAUAUAAGCAUGCAGAGAGAGAAAAGAUGCUCCAUUAAUAUGCACCCGCUAGUGCAGCCUUCCUCUCCAGUCAGUUCCUCUUCUAUAGUUCUAUAGAACCGUUUUCUUCCAAUCUCAAAAUCUCCAUAUUUUCAUUUCAAAAAUUUCAUAACCUGCUAUUUUUUUAUUGAUAAAUAUUUAGCUUGUCAUCAUUAUAGAAUACUGAAGUCACCUCUAACUUCUCCUUGCUCAUUUAUAAUACCUAUCACAAUGCAUUAUCUUCUUUUUCCUUACUUAUGUUUCUAUUAGUUUCCGACGUGUUAAGAAAGUUUCAUCAAAGUGCAGAUGAAAUUAAAUCCUUUGGUCAAGGAUUUUCAAGUGCAGUUUCGCUGUGAAGAUUCGAAAUCUGAAGCCAAGUUGAUCAAGUUAAAGGAAUCAUAACCCACUCACAUGAGCUCGAACAGACAUACGCACAUUAAAUUCAUUUUUAGAAUAGGGAAACUUUUCUGGAAAGUUUGAAUCACAUUGAGAUCAAAAUGAUCAAGUUAAAAUCAAAUCUAGGUCAGGUUGUAAGUCAUCAAAAAAACUUGAAGAAGAGGGGAGAGCGGUUUGGUUAAUGUGAAAGCACUUUUAGCAACACAACCAGCCUUCAAAACUUGCCGAAGGAAGUCUCUAGAUCAAUCAAGCAUAAGAAAGAUAGUAACUAAAUUAAUUAUUAUGAUAGGACAAGGCGAAUUAACAAUUCUCACGUGCACGCCAAAUUCACGACAACACCCUGUUGAUGUGAAUCUUAAUCACUCUCUAGAACUGCAGUCAAAUCCAUGUUGAUAGAUGGAAUGGUGAAAGGAAUACAUUUGCUUAGAUCACACUCAUGGGACUGUAAUGCAAGCUAAUAGACCUUUUAGAGGUUAGGUCUCUUCCAAUAUGAAUUUCUAGAGUAUACACACAAGGGUGAGAUCAGGUAAGCUCAAGAUACAUGCUUAAUAUCCAGGUACCCUAAUUAUAGAUGCAGACAGGAGAAGCUUUGUUGGCCUGGAACCGAAGGGACUACAAGUUGAACUGCUUAACAAUCUGUGCUCAAGAGCUUCAAUUGAUUAGUUCAAUAUGUGGGCUUAACCAGAACACUCUAAAACCUCAACAUGACUGAAUGUGCAGUCAGAUAUACAGCUCACUGCUACGAGAAUUCAUGGAUGGUUCAAGAUUUGGAGCAGAACAGCAUCACUGUGUUGCUUGCACAGAACAUAUGUGUCAACCAUGAUUUGUUCGAAUUUUCUAUGCAAAACUUCAUGAUAUAAAUAAACUCCUAUGGAACGCUAGUUAUUGCAACCAAUGUACAUUACAACCUCUAUGAUUGCUCAAAUUCUCCCAAGUCACCUUAAAUGUCCAUGGUAUGGACUACUUUAGCAGUCCAAAUGACAAACCAAAUCAUCAAGAUCACAAGAACUAUGAAUAGCAAAACUUUUAACUACAUUACCCACUUCAAAUCCCGACUUCCUCAUCCAGGCUAUAUAACACUCAACUUAGUUGGAUGCUCUAAUUUGUGUCCUAUUUCUCACACCAAGACAUCUGAUAAAGAAUGUGAUCCUAAGUAUUAUAUAACCCCUUUGCCCAGAAACCAACAAUGAUUUAACCUAUCAUAUGGAGUAGGACGACUGCUGAGUAUCAACACAGAGAGUCACAAACAAAUAUAUGCUUCCUUUCCUUGUCUUGCUUACUCGGAUAUGUCAGCAUUUCAGUAUCACUGUUCUUGACGCCGGAAACCUCAAACAAUUCUGCACAAACUCAAUACUGCAUCGAUAUUAAAAAGUCAACUCCUAUGUCAACGUGUAGAAUGAGAUGUGCGGGAAGAGAAGGACGAGGAGGAAGAAGAGUAGAAAAGGAAGAAGAAAAAGAAAGACGUGCUGAGAGUGAAGGAACUCGGCCUAGCAACCACCAAAGUACAUCUUCACGCUAUAGGAUAGUUGAUGUCAUUCCAUAAAAGAGAUACUCAUCUCUUUAAGGAUCAAAUUUCAAACUAUACCUAUCGAUGGGAAACUUAUACUUCUAUCAUGCCUUGUUACUUCCGUCAUAUAUCUGCUCAAGUACCCCUUCUAUUUACAUGCUUUGCUUAUGCAACAUUACUUUGCUUAUUCCUUGUGUAUCAAUAGCGAGAAGAGCACCAACAGCAAUAUAGCACUUGGAAAUGGGACAUACAACUUAGAGGCAGUAAAAUGAGAUGACCGACGAGAAUGGCAGAAUGAUUACAUUGAAGAUCCCUUUAUACAAAAUAUUAUGGAAAAGGAUAGCAUAGCUCUGCCUUUCAAUUUAUCUGAUAUAAACCAUUAGAUGGUUCUUCCGAUACAAAUUUUAGGUCUAUUACUUAUUAUAUUAGAGUUGUAGUUGCAUAAGUUAUAUGAAAUAUACUAAUCAGGUCCGUAAAAAUAAAUGAUGCAUUCAUAUUUUCAAAUUUAAGGGUUAUUAAACGACUCUAGUCUACUAAAAUGAAUUAAAGCUUAGAUAGCAAAAUCAAAAUUUUUAAAAGUUACAUAGUUGGAUAAAAAUGGGCCAUAGUUCACAUAAGUCCCAUACAAUUUUACUUUUUUUUUCGGGUAAAUUGCACGUUUGGUCCUCAAACUAUGAGGAUGGUGACAUUUUUGUCAUCAAACUUCAAUCUAUUGUAAUUUUUGGCUCGAACUUUUAAAAUUGUUGCAAUCAAGUCCUAUAACCUAAUUUAAUUAACUAAACAUUGAUAAAUCACUAAUGUAGAGGUGAUAUAAUAGUGUUGUGAUUGAUGAUGAACCAAUAAUUAAGAUAUCACAUCACUUUUAUAUCAAUGAUGCAUUAAAAUUUAGUCAACUAAAUUAGAUUGUGGAACUUGAUUGUAGUAAUUCUAAAAGUUCGAGCCAGAAGUUAUAAAAAAUUAAAAUUUGAGUACUAAAACAUCACUUGCCUCAUUGUUUGAGGACCAAACAAGCAAUUUUACCCUCUUUUUCCUACCAAUUCAGUCUUGUCAAGACCACAAAGCAACUUCUCAUCGCGAAAAAUGAUCGACCACAAGACAUGACAGCGAAAUUCCCACUUGCCAUGGAUGACAACCUUCUGUUUUCUUGAAUCAACCAUCUACCACAAGCUUUAGCUAACCCUUGUAGACUCUAACAGUUCAAAUAGAGCUUCGGCACACAAACAAACAGAGUCAAUCAGUGAAUCGCCAUACUACGUCGCGAGGCGCAUUCAUUGUUAUCAAAAGCCCUAAGAAUUGCCCCAUCUAAAUGCAUCAUCUAGUUCUACACUUCGCAUCGAAAUUGCCUAGAGAGAGAGAACGGACCUUCUCGUCGCAGGGCCGGCACAGCGCAGCCUCGUCGGCGGCGCAGAAGAGCACCGCCGCCGCGCUCUCGCACACAUCGCAGAUCGUCCGCAUCGCCGCUCCCCUCCACCUCCUCCCUCUCUCUCUCUCUCAUCGCCCACCUCCCACUCCCAUCUCCUCCUCCUCCUCCACCUCCACCCUUUUCCCCCUCCACUAAACGCAGCGAAACGGGAAACGCGGCGGCGGCGGCGGCGGCGGCGGCGGCCGAGGAGAAGGCGUUUUAUAGUAGGGUUUUUUUUUCUUUUUUCUAUUUUUUUUUUUGUGUGGUGUGUGUGGUGAGUUUGGGUUUGGGGCCCGGUGGAGUGGAAAUUAAGUGGGGCAAUAUUCAAGAAGAGUCGGAGAAGAGUACGGAUGGCGCGAGAUGAGAGGCUGUAGAAGAGUGGGAG
rnacentral:lncRNA from 1 species